AUUUAAACAGGUUCCCCACCACCCAGGCCAUGCUCUUUUCUCACUGCUGCCAUCAGGUAGAAGGUACAAGAGCUUCAGGACUCGCACCACCAGGUUCAGAAUCCUGUGGCCCCUCCUCGCCUAUGCAGUUCCGAUCUCGACAGUCGAAACCUUAGAGAGGAGUGUUAGCAACCACCUCAGGAGAUGGCUGGGGCUGCCAAAGAGCCUGAGCAGCAUCGCACUCUAUGGACACCACAACAAACUGCAACUGCCCUUCAAAUCCUUGGAGGAAGAAUUCAAGACAUCAAGGGAAAGCUGGAAGUUGCUGCAGUCGGGCACCUGAGGCAAGGAAUAGUAUGGUCCCCACAGCUCUCCUUAUAGACGAACGCUUGGCCUUAAGCACCAAACUUAUGAGUGGCCUACUUUGUUUUGUGUGAAGCAUUGGUUACUUUAGCCCUUCGGUACAAUAUAGAUGUUGCAGCAACAAGGAUGAUUCAUUACGUGCUGACUAAAUCACUGGAUGGUGUUCAGUGUGUCACAGGGCUGGAAGGCCGUGAUUGACCCUGACAUAGGGCUCAGCCGCUCACAGAAUGGCUGGCUGUCUACCCUACUACACUGCAGGCUUUCCAGUUCAGUUUCAAGGCUCAUGCUUGGGGUAUGGUGACCGGGAAAGAGAAUGCCCUCGGUGUUCUUGCUUGCCCUGUGGG